AUGAGAAUCAAGGAUAAAAAGGCUAUUAGUAUUAGAUGUGACCUACGUGAUUUAUUCAAGACGAUCUAUAAAAACGCAGUAGGUCUAUUUAAAUCGAUCUAUAAAGAUACGAUAAAUAUAUAUAGUCCAGCUAUAGCGCUUGUAAAAGCACCAAGCACUUGGUGCUUGUAAGUUUUUUACCGUUAGAUCUAUUUCUCGAAUCAUUUUCAACCAUUAGAUUAUUCUAUUCAACCAACCACCCACUCAACCCUAGGGGGCCCACAUCAUCCUAACCGCAUAUCUCUUAAUUCAAUAGCUAAAAAUCUACAAGCACUAAUAACUUGGUACUUUUAAAAGCAUAGAAGCUCAAUUAUAUAUAUAUAUAUAUAUAUAAAGAAGAAUUAAACAAAUUUUGAAUUAAAAUAUAGAUUCACAGUAGAUAUUCUCUGGUUGGCAAAAAUUUGGAUAAGUACAAAUUUUUUUUUGUUGUAGAAAUAAAGAGAAAUUAAGAGUUUGUUUAAUUCUGCUAUUAUUUUAUGCAAGGAAAGAGGAAUCAAUUUUUUUUCCGCCAAAAAAUGGGUCUGUCGACAAACCGAAAUUUGAAAUACGUGCUUAUAUAUAUAUAUAUAUAUAUAGAGUCCGGCUAUGGUGCUUGUAAAAGUACCAAGCAUUUGGUGCUUGUAAAUUUUUUACCGUUAGAUCUCUGCCUUUGAUCAUUUUUACCCGUUAGAUUAUACUAUUCAACCAACCAUCCACUCAACCAUAGGGGGCCCACAUCAUCCUAACCACACAUCUUUUAAUCCAAGAGCUGAAAACUUACAAGCAUCAGUGACUUGGUACUUUUAAAAGCAUAGGAACUCAAUUCUAUAUAUAU
rnacentral:lncRNA from 1 species